GCUCGCGUCCUGUUCUCUGUGAUCCACCACGCUUCCUCACCUCCUCCUCCAGAUUCUCACCCUCUUGUGACAAGAGAAUCUCAGUAUUCCAGCCUUGGCCGUCCCGUAACUUACUCAACUUUUACCCUUCUGAUGGACCUUCAGAUUGUUUUCCUCUAUUUAUUUCGCCACUGCCAACUGUAGUAAACAUCCCCUGGCAGAAGUCUCUGCUCACUAGUAAAAAUAACGUCUUAGGAUACAUUUCUAGAAGAGAACUUGCCAGAUCAAAGCCCUGGGAGAGACGGGAGGCGGCUCUCAAGCAGGCCUGGAGCAUCAUAGACCUUAUGUACUUCGCUUAACAGUAUUCCUCAUAGUAUGCAUUGGAUUUUGCUAAACAGUCUAUCAGAUCGAGGUGGUUUGUUUCUAAGUUUCUUUUUCAAAGGUUUUAUUAUUACCCAUGCCCGCAGGGUUGUAUCACAUACUUCCUAGUUCCCGUUUGCU